AAGGGUAUAGCCCAAGUGGUAGAGCACAUGCUUAGCAUGCAUGAGGUCCUGGGUUCAAUCCCCAGUGCCUCCU
rnacentral:tRNA from 1 species